rnacentral:lncRNA from 8 species
ACCAAACAGACCUAUGUUCCGGGUUUUGAUUCGUACAAUGUGUGGUUACCAUCAUUAGUCUGAAUAGGUAAGGUACGUCAACAAUGCAUUUCGCUGAAACCGUCACUCCACACCACUGAAGUCUCAGCCAACACCAUGGCAGCAUUAGGACUCCUAUGGCUUGUGAUCUCCACAGCAUCCAUCCUUGUCAAAUGUGAUGAAGAUGCAACAUCUGAACACAAAAAGAUCUACCCAGCAAAGAUCUUUGGACCAUCUAGUGUGACUGAAGGGGUAAACGUCACUUUUAAAUGUAGCACUACUGGCAUCAGAGAACCUGAGGACAAGUUUAAUUUUUACCUUUGCAAGAAUGGAGUUGGGAUAAGAAUUGAGCUGCUGCAGGAAGGUGUAGAUGACGCUAUUUUCACCAUGAAGGAUGUUACAAGAAAAGACUCAGGCAACUACAGCUGUGUGUACGCCAGAGAUAAACUUGUACCCAGUCAGGUGAACUCAACAGGGGAGAAUUUAGUGUUUUUUCAGGUUGAUGGAGAACAGAAAGGACAAGGAAGAGCAGGACUGGCAGCAGCCUUGGUCCUCCUGUUUCUGACGCUGUCUGUACUGCUGUUACUGUGGAGGAACUGGGGAAUCCUGAAACAAAUGAUACACAUUGACCAUCAACCAAGUGAGAAUCAGGAUGCGGAUCUAACAUACAGUCUAAUCUCAGCUGUGCCAGUCGCAGCUGGUGUAAUUAGUGAGGUCCCAUUUGAUGGUGAUGAAGGACCCUAUUCUAUGAUAGGUGACUGGAGAGGGCUGAAAUCGUCAGGGAGACUACGAAAGAAUCCUGAGCCCUUGGGUUCACAAGGUGUGUCAGGCAUGGGAUCGGUUGUUCAUCACUGUCCAACUGAUCCUACAGGAGCUGAGGCACUGUACAGUGUAAUAACUAGAGCACAGCAGGGUGAAACUGCCAUCUAUGCCAAAGUGACCAAAACAAAGAAGGAGAAAGAAAAACAGGACCCCGUUUACAGUCUGCCGAUGAAAACAUAAACAGAGAGGACACCAUGAUACUGUAUACUGUUCCAUUACAAAUACAGUAGUGCUAUACAGUAGUGAUAUACAGUAGUGAUAUACAGUAGUGAUAUACAGUAGUAUAUGACAUGCGAAAUGACAUGACAGAACAUGUGGUUUAUCUCCCCUUUUGGUCAUAGAAGUCUGGGGAUAUUAAUACUGUACACCUAGGUGUAUGCCAAGAUGUGUUUUUUGAAAUACUGCUUUGGUUUUGAACAUAUUACUCUGCGUUUGAUGCAGUCUGCAGUCUGGGUGCCAUCUUUGAGCCUAGCGAAGAUGUAGAUGACAUUAUUUCACCUUUUAUUCAAUAAAAACAAACCAGGCUUGAAUAAAAGCUAUAUAAAUUCAAACAAAGUGUUAGCCAAUGUUUUCCACAGGUUUGUUAUGCCAACAUGGAAAUGUGAAUUAAGACACACAAAUGAAUGAUAAGACAAGACCGAGACAUACAUAGAGAAAGAGAUGUGGACAAAGGAGAAUAUGUGGCAGGCUAAUGUGGUUACAGUGGUUCUAUAGAAAGCUCAGUCUAAUGGGAGAGGGAGACAGAGCUUAGUAAUAGACCAGCCACCAUCAUCAUGCCUCCCAGCAGAGGGGAAGAGGGGAGGAGAAGGGGAGAGGAGGGAAAGAGUGGGAGGCUGUCUGCAGCAUAUUACCAUUUCUCCACACACACCAUGACCCAGGGGCUAGGCAGACGAGAUUGAUUUUUUCCUUCCAGCAUUUUCCAUUUGCUGUCACUCUCACAAGGCAUCGUCAUCAUAGACCCAUGUCACACACCAGAUGGUUUCACUCCUACCUGACGCUCAUCCCUCAACUCAUCAGUGCAGACGGCCGUCCCGCUAUCUGACGUGAGACAAUGCAUAAUAGACACGAUGGAGUUAUGUGGCUCACAGACAUGCAUACACACACACACACACACACACACACACACACACACACACACACACACACAAAAUAACAUCUCAAAAUUGAAAUCUUCUCAUACCACAGGUACUCCAGCUACUGUAGUAUCAGGGGAAUGGAUGCUGUAUAUUAGACAAGCUCUCAACACACACAUACAGACACACACUCCUCCACCCCUAUUAACCCUGACAUUAAACCUGAAGCAACAGUCUGAAGCUACUUUAGUUAGACGUAUGGCUGAGGCAGCCUCGCUGCUAGCCACUGUCUGAGGGGAGAGAACAAGAGAGAACAACAACAGUGUGCUGGAUCUAUGUAGGUAGAGCUGCUGGGGCAGGGCUUGCAGUGUAGACACUUGGCUGUGGAUAGGCUACAGGCUGCAGGCAGUGUGCUGCUGGGGAGGAUACCUGGUAGUGAUUAGUGAUCAGACUCUUCUGGGGGAGAGAGGGGGGCUGGCUUUCUGGAGGAGGUUGAGGAGGAGGAGGAAAAGGAGGAGAGAGAGGAGAGAGAGGGCACUACCGUUCAUUUAGAGGCAGCAGCAAGGGACUGAAGCAUCGCCUGUCUGAGCUGAGGCAGGGCUCCAUGGAAUGGGGGAAUACUAGAGAGCAGCGCUGCCUGUCUGUCUGUCGACACUCUGUCUGGACUCUCACUCUGCAUUCAGGAUAGAUUGUGUGUUGAGUGGAUGAUAGGAAUAGAGGAUGCAGGUCUGAUAUCCACAGUAUGUCUGUUUGUGAUCAUAUGUGUAUAGGUUUGUGUGUGUUCACUACAUCCAAGCAGGUGAGUGUAAUGUGUUCGCAUGUACACUGUUGUGCAUGUGUGUAUAUUUGAAAUGUGUAAGAUGAAAUGUGUGUGUAUGCAAAUGUGAAAAUUAGUUUCUGUGUGUAUGCAGUAUGCGUCUGUAUUCAUGUAUGUGUGUACAUGUAAGGUAUCUAUACGGAUGUAUACAUGUCCCAUAACUUCCUCUGUUUGUGCACUGUGCCGUGAUUUUAUUGC